rnacentral:rRNA from 1 species
CCAAUAGCGUAUAUUAAAGUUGUUACCGUUAAAAAGCUCGUAGUUGAAUUUUGGGAUCAAUGGGUUGGUCAUGCCCUCGGUAUGUACUGAUUUCAUUGGUUCUCACCUUCUAAGGAACCAUGAUGUCAUUCGUUUGAUGUUGUGGGGAAUUAGGACUGUUACCUUGAAAAAAUUAGAGUGUUUAAAGCAGGCUAACGUUUGAAUACAUUAGCAUGGAAUAAUGAAAUAGGACAUCCGAUUCUAUUUUGUUGGUUUUUAGGAUCGAUGUAAUGAUUAAUAGGGAUAGUUGGAGGCAUUAGUAUUCAAUUGUCAGAGGUGAAAUUCUUGGAUUUAUUGAAGACUAACUACUGCGAAAGCAUUUGCCAAGGAUGUUUUCAUUAAUCAAGAACGAAAGUUAGAGGAUCGAAGACGAUCAGAUACCGUCGUAGUCUUAACCAUAAACUAUGCCGACUAGGGAUCGGAUGAUGCUUAUUUUUAAUGACUCAUUCGGCACCUUACG